CAGAAAGUAGUUUAUAAAAAUAUUAAUUUUGGAGAUUAAAGUAAAAGAAAUUCUUUUUUUCUGA
rnacentral:tRNA from 1 species